GGAGCGGAAAAGCGCACUGCGCGGCGUGAGCUGGCGGGCCGCAGCAUAGCAACCGAACAUGGCGGCUGCGCAGGCGCCGCCAGUCAGUGGCCAGGAGCGGCGGCGGCAGCAACAGGAGGCGAUCUCGCGAGAGGCGAGGCCAAAACCCUGCCUCGCUAGCGCAGGGAGAAGUCGCACCAGUCGGAGCGCAGAGGGACACGCAGACAUUUCAGCAGAGGCCUCAAAGGCAGAACAAAAUAGUGCAAGGAGCCGCACAUCCGCACAGUGCUGAGACCCUGCCCAGGACAAGCUUGGCCGCAGUAUUCCCUUUGGCACCCCCACCCACCUGGAACAAAGCCUGAUGUAAAGUCUGGGUGCGACUCAGACCGGCCUGGGAAAGAAUUUAUUUAAUAAAUGGUGGAAAGUGGCUUCCUUGACGUGUCUUCGAUGGCUUUUUUAUAAAGCAUUUGGUUUGUCUACUCGUCUGUUUUUGCGCCAUCUCUUUCCACAAAGAUGGCUUAUAGCAGGGAUACUUACAACAAAAUGAUGCUGGGAAAACAAAAACAAAGAAGUAGAGAAUUAGGCCUGAGAAAACUAGGAGUAGAGAGUCACGAUUAGAUACAGAGGAGCAUAGAUGUGUAGUCUAGGAAGGCCAACUAAUUGUUAUAGCUGAAAUUCAAAUUCAGUUAGCUAAAAUGUUCCUAGUGUCAAAGGAAGAAUGGGCCACACAGUUGCAUAAUCCUUAGUAUUAGGGAGAAGGAAAAGGUUCCAGUUAUUCAGAGGGAUGUUCUCUUGCCUUAUUCCUUUAAUAAGUAUCUGUUAAAGGCCCACCAUGUGCCAAGCACCAUGCCCGGCAAGCACUGCACUCACCCCCCAGGAACUCAGUGUCUAAAGGAGACUGGGUGAAAGAACUAUAUUUGUGUGCCUAUGAUGUGUCAAAUACUAUGCAUUUAGUUAUGCAGUUACUGUAUGUUAGACACUAUGCAUUUAAUUAUUUACCUGCUGUAUAUCAGACACCAUGCAUUUUCAUUUAACCCUCAUAAGCACUUACAUCAAGUAGACACUGUUACCUCUUUUUUACAGAUGAGAAAACAGAGUCUCUUCCCGCAGCUGGUAAGUAUUGAACUUAGGAUUCAAAUCAAGGCCAUUCUCUCUUAUAUAUGGUGCUAGACUGUUGGUGGUCUUUCUAACUUCCAUUAUUUAUUUUCCCUUCCCUUUCUUUUCUUCUUUUCCUUUUCCUUUUUUUUUUUUAGAAACAGGAUCUUGCUCUGUUGCCCAGGCUGGAGUGCUGUGGUACGAUCAUAGCUCACUACAGCCUUUACCUCCUGUUUUCAAGUGAUAUGUCCACGUAUCCCCUCCUAGGUAACUGGGACUACUGGUGUGUGCCACUAUACUGGCUUAUUUUUUCUAACUUUUUGUAGAAAUGGGGUCUUGCUAUGUCGCCCAGGCUGGUCUCAAUUCCUGGCCUGAAACAAUCCUCCCAACGUGGCCUCCCAAAGUGUUGGGAUUACAGGCUUGAGCCACCACAGCUGGCCCCCAGUUCCCUUUCUAACAGAACGUCAGCUUUGUUUAAUUAUUUACCACUCCUCAAAAUAGCUAACAUGGGCCAAGGGUCAAUGACCCCAUUUCUAGGUUCUUGUGGGCAGGAUGGGAAGAUUGAUUAGCCAAUCACAAUAAUCCCCUGUGCUUGGUUUAAGAAUCUGGGCUUAAACCAAUCAUUAUGUGACAUUCUCCUGGUGAUUGUCUUAGGUCUAGGAUGACAUAAGCGGGCACAAUAAGACUGAAGGAAUGGUCAUCAAUUCCAUAUUUUGGGGAAAGGCUCUUCUAUCUCUCUUGCUGGAAAUAGACUAGUAGGUAUGUUGCUGCUGGCAGCCCUUCUGUGACUCUGGACGAGGCUGACUCUUCUGAUACCAACUGUUCUGACACCAACUGGUGUACUGUAAUAUGAUUCCCCAGAUGCAAAUACAAAUACCCGGCGUUAGUGGAGACUCCACACGUUAAAGGGCACGGUCCCCUACAAGACUGUUUCACUUCAAAUGCCAACCACAAGGUGGGGUCUCAGACCACCAGCAUUUCUGACCAGCUGGCUACAAAUCUGGGUGUUCCCACAAUCCCUCUCAGGUUCAAUAAUUUACUAGAAUGACUCACAGAACUCAGGAAAGCCUACAUUAUGAUUAUAGUUUUAUAAUAAAGAAUAUCAAUCAAGAGCAUAGGACAAGACCUAAGAGCUUCUAGAAUGCAGAGCUUCUGGGCUCUCUCCCCAUGGAAUUGGGCCAUAUCACUCUCCCAGUGCAUCAGUGUGUUCAUUAACCAGGAGAUCCACUGAGCUUCAACAUCCAGAGUUUUUAUCAGAGUGCCAUUCCAUUGGCAUGACUGAACAUUGGCCAUGUGGUGGAACUCAAUCUCCAGCUGUCCUUCCCUCCUUGGAGCUCAUGAAUAACAAAAACACUCCUA
rnacentral:lncRNA from 1 species